ACGCUUACUUUGGCAGCAUAUGUGCUAAAAUUGGAGUCACACAGAGAAGAUUAGCAUGGCACUUGCACAAGGAUGGCACACAUAUUUGUGAAGCGUUUUGUAUUUUG